rnacentral:rRNA from 1 species
AAAAGAUCGAAUGGGGAGAUUCAUCGUCAGCGGCGCUGGCUUCACGGCGGCUCGUGAUGUCGCGGGGCUUCGGUCCCGCGGUACGCGGUCGCCGCGUUACGUCCGGCGUCGUCGGCGUGCACUUCUCCCCUAGUAGGACGUCGCGACCCGUUGGGUGUCGAUCUACGGCCCGGGUGGGCGUCUGUCGUGUCGCCUCGGCGCACGCGGCAAACCCCCGGCUCGCCAGUAUCGGCUGCCCGACGGUACUCCCAUGGUAUCGGGCCGCAAUUUUCGAACUGCGUCGGGCCCGUCGCAAGCGCGGUCAAUUCGUCGCGGAGGUACGGACCUAGCGCCGUCCCCGCGACUGGCCAGCUGUUGGCAGACGGUGUCCUCUGACCGGCCAAAAAAACUUCUCGAAAGUGUGAUACCGGUCGGCGACGCUACUGCUUUGGGUAAUCUCAGGACCCGUCUUGAAACACGGACCAAGGAGUCUAACAUGUGCGCGAGUCAUUGGGACCGCAAGCCUAAAGGCGAAAUGAAAGUGAAGGUCGGCCUUGCGCCGACCGAGGGAGGAUGUGUCGCGUUUUUAUUAGAUGCGACACCGCACUCCCGGGGCGUCUCGUUCUCAUCGCGAGAAGAGGCGCACCCAGAGCGUACACGUUGGGACCCGAAAGGGG